CGCGGUGGACAUUAAUGUGUUCAUAAGGCACUGUUAUUUGGAGACGAGUAUCCUUAUAUUGGAAUAUCCCCGUAAAAGUAUUACAUCAAUAAGUGAUUUAAAGUCUUAUCGGAAACCAGAGAUGGCUAACGCUGCCCCACCGACUAAAACUGGUAUCAAGACAGGUGAUUUCAAAUCUAAUCAGAAACCAGAGAUGCCUAAGGCUUCCCCACCGACUAAAACUGGUAACAAGACAGGUGAUUUCAAAUCUAAUCAGAAACCAGAGAUGCCUAAGGCUGCCCCACCGACUAAAACUGGUAAC